CAAUAGCGUAUAUUAAAGUUGUUGCGGUUAAAAAGCUCGUAGUUGGAUUUCUGCUGAGGACGACCGGUCCGCCCUUCGGGUGAGUAUCUGGUUUGGCCUUGGCAUCUUCUUGGUGAACGUAUCUGCACUUGACUGUGUGGUGCGGUACCCAGGACUUUUACUUUGAGGAAAUUAGAGUGUUUCAAGCAGGCAUACGCCUUGAAUACAUUAGCAUGGAAUAAUAAGAUAGGACCUCGGUUCUAUUUUGUUGGUUUCUAGAGCUGAGGUAAUGAUUAAUAGGGAUAGUUGGGGGCAUUCGUAUUUAACUGUCAGGGGUGAAAUUCUUGGAUUUGUUAAAGACGGACUACUGCGGAAGCAUUUGCCAAGGAUGUUUNCAUUGA
rnacentral:rRNA from 1 species